rnacentral:lncRNA from 1 species
UUUGAUCCAUUUUUUAGACCAAAUACAUUAAUCAUUCCAUGAAUCUAAAAAGUAAAAUUUUUCUAAUAUUAAGGACCCGAUGGAGUAUCUUAUCAUGUCAAUAUAAGUGUGUACCAAACACAUGAUAAGAUAAAAUAAUAUUAUCUCCUUUCUUAUCAUAUAUACACCAAACAUAUGACAGGAUAAGUGUUUAUCCUGCCACUAUCCUAUCACUAUCCAGCUCCUUAUCAUAUCCUGUCUCUAUCCUAUCCUGCGCACCAAACGAGCCCUUA